ACGUGGAUAACCUGCCCUAAGGUGGGGCAUAACCCCGGGAAACUGGGGAUAAUACCCCAUAGGUUAGAGAUGCUGGAAUGCACUUUAACCCAAAGCUCCGGCGCCUUAGGAUGGAUCUGCGGCCGAUUAGGUAGUUGUUGGGGUAAUGGCCCAACAAGCCUGUAAUCGGUACGGGUUGUGGGAGCAAGAGCCCGGAGAUGGACUCUGAGACACGAGUCCAGGCCCUACGGGGCGCAGCAGGCGCGAAAACUUUACAAUGCAGGAAACUGUGAUAAGGGAACCCCGAGUGCCCGUAUACGCGGGCUGUCCAGGUGUUUAAAACGCAUCUGAAGAAAGGGCCGGGCAAGACCGGUGCCAGCCGCCGCGGUAAUACCGGCGGCUCGAGUGGUGGCCACUUUUAUUGGGCUUAAAGCGUCCGUAGCUUGGUUGUUAAGUCUCUUGGGAAAUCUCACGGCUUAACCGUGAGGCGUCUAAGGGAUACUGGCAACCUAGGGACCGGAAGAGGUGA
rnacentral:rRNA from 1 species